UGCUGACCACACUUACCACCAUCACAGUUACAGGACUUGCUGCUUUGUGGAUGGGGCGAGCAGUGGGGUAAAAGCUCUCCUUGUCCUGGUUUGCAUGAGAAAUGACAAAGUCACCUGUCUGGGGCAUUUUGGGGUGCCCAGAAUGGGUCACCUUCUUGGUUACUUUGCAGGAGAAGCUUCUGUGCAAAGGGCCCCUUAGAGGAGCACAGGAAAGGGGCAUCGGUCACAAAGUCCAUCAGCCAUCACUGUUUGCCCACGUGAGCUGACCUGACCGAGGCCACAGCAGAGCAGACAACGCCGAUUCAAAUGUGUGCAGAGGUGUGGCGGGAGGCCAGGGAUGGGAGGAAGCCUCCUGCAGAGGAGCCCUUUCAGGAGGGUCCCGUGCCCCUGCCUGCGAGUCCUGCUGGAGAGCAGUUGCUGAUUACAGGAGAAAGGAAGCAGCGGCCUGGGCCAAGGGGACAUGUGGUGCUUUCUGCCCCACUGCAGUGGCUUCUUACGGAACAGCAGCCCCCAGGCCAGCAAAGGCUGAGGGAGGGGACUCACUGCUCUUUCUCCAGGAAUCAGACACAGUGCCUGGAGUGGGGAGGGGCCCUGCAAGUCUCCUGAUCACAGUGCAGCCCCCUGGCCCCUCCCUGGCUGACUGACUGCACAGGAAGGGAGUCCUCUGUGCUGGCCACAGCACCUCCAGUCAGGCCCAUGGGCCUCAGUCUCCCCAAUUGUGGUUUGGGGUGACAACCUUGAAAGGGUCUCUCAAAGAUGCGGUGUAGAAGAACAAUGCCGGGCCCCACUCUGGGAAAACCCAGCACAGCAAACAGCGGGUAACAUGGAGCCCAAAUCGGAGCACUGCCGAGGACGGAGCCCCCAGAGCAGGAGAAAGGGAUCCCCGUGGGGCAGACAGAAACAGUCAUAGCAGAGACAGCAGCUGCAUCCCGGGGGUAGGGCGUCCGGCCCUGAGGUGCUUGCCUGCCUUCACUGGUCCCAUGGAAAUUCCUCAAAGAAGACCGGAGCAAGCCUGCAUCCCAGGAGAGGAGCUGGAUGCCACCAAGCCUAGCCAGCUGCAGGAGACCUGCAGAUGCCAGCCUGAGCCUGCCUGCCCCACA
rnacentral:lncRNA from 1 species